AUGGCUCGCAAGAAGAUUGCCCUCCAGUACAUCAAGAAUAAGUCGAGCCGGCGCCGUACCUUGGAUACGCGCAUGAAGAACCUGGCAAGUAAGGCACGCGAGGUUUCUAUUCUAUGCAACGCCAAGGCCUGCGUGUUGGUGUACGAUGAGGGAAAUGCGGCACCAAAGGUGUACCCAUCGCAUCCCGAGGCGGUGGAUAUCCUGAAUAGGUACAAAACCAUGGCAGAUGGGAGGUUUAAGAAGACGGUGAACCAGGAAGACUUCCUCAGCCAGCGCCUCAGCAAGCUCCAGGUCGAGGAAAACAAGGUACGAGACCCCGAGAUCAGGAUCCUGCUACACAAGGCCAUGCUCGGCAGUGACCUCCCCGAUCUCAAAGUCGAUGAGCUCACCAUCGUCAGUAGUAGGCUGGAGGAGAUCCUCAAGAGCGUGGGCCAAAGCAUCGCUAAAAUUAGCGGACAAACCCCUGUCUUGCAGCCCCAGGUACCAUACAUCCCCGACAACAUGGACAUGGGCGGGUCUUCGGCAAUGUAUCUGGCGUCCCAGCCAGCUCCAUACGUCACCAACAACAUGGACAUGGGGUCUUUCGCCAUGAAUCAGCAGCCGUCGCCCACUCCAUACGUCACCGACAACAUGCACGUGGGGUCUCCAACGAUGUAUCAGGUGCCGCCACAGCAUGAGGGUUGA
rnacentral:rRNA from 1 species